rnacentral:rRNA from 1 species
CGCCAGACUCCUACGGGAGGCAGCAGUGGGGAAUAUUGCACAAUGGGGGAAACCCUGAUGCAGCGACGCCGCGUGAGUGAAGAAGUAUUUCGGUAUGUAAAGCUCUAUCAGCAGGGAAGAAAAUGACGGUACCUGACUAAGAAGCCCCGGCUAACUACGUGCCAGCAGCCGCGGUAAUACGUAGGGGGCAAGCGUUAUCCGGAUUUACUGGGUGUAAAGGGAGCGUAGACGGCGAUGCAAGCCAGAUGUGAAAGCCCGGGGCUCAACCCCGGGACUGCAUUUGGAACUGUGUGGCUGGAGUGUCGGAGAGGCAGGCGGAAUUCCUAGUGUAGCGGUGAAAUGCGUAGAUAUUAGGAGGAACACCAGUGGCGAAGGCGGCCUGCUGGACGAUGACUGACGUUGAGGCUCGAAAGCGUGGGGAGCAAACAGGAUUAGAUACCCGGGUAA